rnacentral:rRNA from 1 species
GAUGAACGCUAGCUACAGGCUUAACACAUGCAAGUCGAGGGACCGGCGCACGGGUGAGUAACACGUAUCCAACCUGCCCUUUACUCGGGGAUAGCCUUUCGAAAGAAAGAUUAAUACCCGAUCUAUAGGAUGGGGAUGCGUUCCUUUAGGUUGUUGGUGAGGUAACGGCUCACCAAGCCUUCGAUGGAUAGGGGUUGUGAGAGGAAGGUCCCCCGCAUUGGAACUGGGACACGGUCCAAACUGCUACGGGAGGCAGCAGUGAGGAAUAUUGGGAAAUGGGCGUGAGCCUGAACCAGCCAAGUAGCGUGAAUGAUGAAGGGUUAUGGGUCGUAAACUUCUUUGAUAUAAGAAUAUGUAUUAUAUGAAUAAGGAUCGGCUAACUCCGUGCCAGCAGCCGCGGUAAUA